UCUCCUUAUCUUUUUGUUUAGACUAUCUGAGGAAGGGGUGUUUCAAACUCAAAAGCAUGGUCCAUAUUGCGGACGCAACACUUUGGACGCGGUGAAUGAAAUAAUCAAUAGCCGCACAAGACUUGAACAAUAUAAUUUGACUCAACUUAUAUCCGACUUUACGCAGUACAUGGAAGUCGCCUCUAGUUUGUUUUAGGAUGAAAUUGCAUAUUUUUUAGCAUAACAAGUCACCUGAAAAGUAUGGUAAUCAAUAAGCUCUUUGUGAAAGUUAAUUACUACAAGUAAUGGUGGAGCUACUGUUAUUGAAAAAUAACUUUUAUUUUGAGCUAACAAACUCAUUUCACCAAAAUCGAAUUUGCGCGGGACAAAAAGUUGAAAGAAGCACUGUGUAGGAAGGAAUUCCUUUGAGUUUUGACAGUGACAUUGUGAUGAGUUAAAAUUGGUUAUUAUUUAUUUAUUUUUAAUUGUGAGAGUUUGAAUUUUAGAUUUUUUCUCUCACCUACACUAUUUUAGCCACCUGAGCUAGUCUAGGUGGCUAAAUCAAUUAUUAUUUUCCAAGUAACAGAGCGGGUAUCUGUUACAUGCCCUCAAACUAACAAUCUUUUAUGUUAUUUUGAAUCCAUUAACCAAUUUUAUUUUAUUUUAUCAAUGCCGGUAGAAGAAUGGAUAAUUCAGUGCUUGUUCGAAUUGUAGCUCAUUUUGUAUUGUAUUUAUAGUUUUUUGGCAUAGCUUUUGUGAUGCUUCAUGACUAUGUGUGCUGAAAUGAUGUUAUUAUAAUGAGCUUUUUACUAUUUGAGUUCUUCCUAUACGAUGGUUCCAGCCUCUUUGUAUAUUGGGUUUAGUGCUUCAAUAAUAUGGGUUGUUGGACAGGUGUAACAUGUCAAGGUUGUAAAUUCCUUAUUCUUCAUGGAGUUACAUUUGCUUUUGUUGAUCUUUAUUUCACCUUUGAGGGGACAUAUCUCUCUUCCACUGCCUGCGAUCAUGCCAGGCAUUGGAAUUUGCAUGAACCAGCAGUGAUCAGUGGCUUCGUUGGGGUAUUUUGGGCAAUGCAUGCACUACACCAGGCUAUGAUCCUACUUUAGCUGAAUAAAUUUGUUAUUUUUUCCCUAGUAAAAACAAAUAAAGAAGCAACUCCUCUUGUAGACAAGUCUUAAUGUAUAAAACAUUGUUUUGCAGUUCGUCGGCAAUCUCCUCACAUUUGCUCUUCUGAAAAAUGGACAGCUUGUCAUUUCUUGGGCUGGUCUUUACUUAUUGGCACAACUCUCCCAAAUAUCCUUUUGUCUCUAUUCUCUUAUGGGUUCAUAAUUGUUGCCUCGUGUCCUUAUUGCAUAACCCUCGGUCCAAAUUUUUUUUUUCCCACAUCAAAGUAAUAAUGGUAGGCAUACACUUACCUACUUUUGAGAUUGAUUUUGAUUUAACAAAAAAGAUUAAGGAAUACAGUGCUAUGAUCGUUCAGGUUUAUGGUGUUGAUAUACUUGUGUAAAGAUUGCUGUAUAUUUCUGCUAUCUUGUUCAUUUGAAAUCUUACAUAUUUCAUUUAUGCUCCUUGAAAAUAUGUAAUGUGUACACUAUGUAAAAGAUUUAAAGAAUAUGUAAAUGUAAGCUGGGUUUUCCCUUCUACCCUCAAGCAAUAAACACUCGCUUCUAGUACAAACACAACUGAGCAUUAAGUAAUUCAUAAAACUUACUGAAUUCGUUUCCUAUCACUGCAGGAUGGAAGCACCAGCAACACAAAUUCAUUGUUCCCUGUAUUUCAUUGUAUGAUAAUCUUAGGUAUUAUACUAAUGUGCUUCUUGAGUAUAAGGAGUGGCAAUAGUAUGAAAGAUGAUGAACCAUCAGAUGCUGGUGUUAGCGUUCAUUCAUCCAUAAAGUCUCUAUUCAGAUCACUUGCCAGUGCAUUGUCUGAUGUAAGGAUGUUGUUGGUCGUGCCCUUAAUUGCUUACUCAGGGCUACAACAAGCGUUUGUGUGGUAAUUUUGGUGCAUACUAGGAAUCCAUUCUCAUGUUCUUCCCAUAGUGGUUCUUUAUCUUCUGAUUGUCUUUUGGUUCUUUAUAUCCUGUUUAUUAAUGUAAAUAUGGUUGCUGUCAUAGGGCUGAAUUUACCAAGUAUGCUGUAAUCCCAGCACUUGGUGUUUCUGGCGUGGGUAUUGCAAUGGCUGUAUAUGGGGCAUUUGAUGGAAUAGUAAGUAUGAAAAUGUAAUAAUUUGAUGGUUUCUCCGUAGAGGCAACCUGAAGCUAAUUAAUUGGCAUGGCUAGUGGAGAACUCAAUACUCUAUACCUACUUUUUUGGGCUGCCUUGUUGGGGAUCGGUGAUGGAGUUUUAAACACACAACUGAGUGCCUUGCUAGGAAUGCUUUUCAAGCAUGACUCGGAAGGAGCAUUUGCACAGUUGAAGAUAUGGCAAAGCGCUUCAGCCUUCAAUUGCUAUGGUGUUCUUUCUGAGCUUACACCUCUCUUUGCAGGCAAUGCUUCUAACUAUGCUUGCUUCAUUGAGCUUAUCGUUUGGCAGCUUUCUGUUCCUAGCGCUCAAGGUGGCCUAGGAAUCAUUUUCAUCCACCGGUAAAUGGAUUUCUGCUUUGUUUGUUUUAGUAGAAAAUGUGAGAGGAAAGAAAGUACGAGGGAAAAAACUGGAAAGAAAGCAAAUUUUCCUCUGGAUAAGGAAAGAAAAAUGAGAGGAAGGAAAAGUAGGAAAGAAAAUAGAAGGUGGGACUCUAUAUUUUCUUCCCAAGUUCUCUCCAUGUAUGGAAAGAUUUUGGGAAGAAAUUUAUUAUUUCUUGUGUGACCUCUUUUCUACUUUUUUCCCCCCAUCUUUGCACUUUGUCUCUCUCUUAUGCAAAACACCUCUCUCAUGCUCUUCUUUUUUUUUUCUCUGUCAGAAGCUACGAUGUCCCACUGUACUUUAUGGAUGAUUUAUAUUUAU